CAGCGCCGACUCGCCCGCGCCCGGCUCCGAGGAGGACUCGGCCGGCCCGCCGCGGGCCCUGCACAGCCCCGAGUGGGGCGAGGAGCGAUUCCGGGUGGAUAGGAAGAAACUGGAGGCCAUGCUCCAAGCUGCUGCAGAGGGCAAAGGGAAAAGUGGGGAAGACUUUUUUCAGAAGAUUAUGGAAGAAACAAAUACACAGAUUGCUUGGCCAUCUAAGUUGAAGAUUGGAGCGAAAUCAAAAAAAGGUAUUUUAGCUUGUUC